UCAUUAAAGCAACAUCACUGCUCCUUCACUUCUCACUCAUUCACUGGAAAUAUGACGGCACAAACUCUCAUCUGCUCUCUAACGCUUUUAUUUACAGGUUGUUUUGGUGAGAUUAUUCUCACUCAGAGUCCCACCGUUCAGAUGGUGUCAGUAGGAGAGAGCGUCACUCUCAACUGUAGAUCCAGCAGUUCAGCUUUUUCAUCCAGUUUAGCCUGGUAUCAUCAAAAACCUGGACAAACACCCAAACUCCUUUUCUCUAGUGUUGGUAGCCGAGUGUCUGGAGUGUCUGAGAGAUUUACUGAUGGAAGAUCAAACACAAACUUCAUGCUGAAUAUCAGAAAUGUUCAGACUGAAGAUGCAGGAGAUUAUUACUGUCAACAGCAUUAUGAGUUUCCACUCACACAGUGAUACAGAGCCGUCCAAAAACCUCCUUCAGUCAAAGAGGAACUACAGACAUACUAUAGUCUCUGUCAAUAUUAUAAAUAAACAGUUUUAACACUAACAUUUCACCUUCAACACUUCACCGUCGCCAUCAGACGAAAAUCUAUUUUUCAUAUUUUUUAAUAAAAACCUUUG